UCACAAAAUUAAACCUUCGUUUUGAUUCAAAAGGUUGCAAACACUCUUUUUGCAGAAUCUAUGAAGGAACAUUUCUGAACCAAUUUUGGCCUAUAGUGGAAAACUGAACAUUCUGUGAUAUAAACUAGAGAAAAGAUAUCUGUGAAAAUGCUUUGCAAUGUGUGGAUUCAUCUCACUGGAUGGAACCUAUGCUUUGAUUUAGUAGGUUGGAAAUACUCAUUUUGUAGAAUCUACAAAGGAUAUUUCUGAGCCCCUUUGAGCCUGUAGUGAAAAAUCAAGGAUCCCAUGAAGAAAAAC
rnacentral:lncRNA from 10 species